UCAGGCCCCUAGGUUCUCUCUGUCUCGUUUGCUGGCGAUUUGGUUUAAGAACCACUUGGAUCCAUUUAACUUGGAGGGGAAAUGCAAAUCAGUGGAGGCGAGGUGGGGCUGCGCUUGACGAUCUUUGGUGGAUAGUGAAGCGAGGUUGAUGAGGACUGACGACCAUGAUGGAGAUGGAUUUUCAGGGGAUAGUGAAGUGCAAAUCAGGAGGUUUGAGUAGCAGCGAUGCACACAAUGACAAAGGUGAGUACUCGUUUCAUCAGGAUUGUGGAGAUUUAUUUUUGCGUUGACCUCCCUCUUCUGUGAAGCUACUGAUAUUUUUGUUCACUUUUGGAUUUCGAGGAAACUUCAAAUUUGUUUUGACGAUGAAGAGGAUGCAGUGCACACGGAGCACAAUACUUUGGUUGGUACCAGAUGAAUGAUGACUUCUGGUAUGAUGAUGUACCUUCUCUCACCAUGGCCAUGCCAUAUAGUUCAUUCAUCUACGGCUACAUGAGCUCAAGUUCCUAAGUCUUCCAGCGGGGUGGAGAUCAAGUAAUAGUCAUAAACCAGGAAGUAUUAAAUGGAAUUGCAAACUGAAGGGCCAGCAAAAAUAUGAUGUACUGCCUGUUUAGGAAAGCAAAUACGUUGGGGAGAAUGUUGAGCAGAAAUUGUGCACGGAUGAUGUGUUGUUUAUUUGAUCUAGAUUUUCACGUGGUUGAA